AGUAAAUAACCAAUAGGUGUAAUCCGCGGGAGAGCUUCGCUGCAUAUUUCUCUUCAAGAUUGAGAAUCGCAACGAAAUCCUCGUCGAGCAACACGUCCACUGAGCAACCAUGUCUGUGUCCUUAAAGGAACUCUGUCAGGUGCAGAGUAGAACUAUGAACUUGAAAAUCAACCAUUCUGAUGACUGGCGUCCCCAUCCGAGUCACCACCUCAGACAACAACAGUCAUAAACUCACAAACACAAAUACACUCAGUAAUGGGCUUAAUAAAGAAAGACUUAAUUAUGAUUUUAUCUGUGUUAACCUAUGAUAUCAGUUAUUGAUGUAUUUUAAAUAUUUACGUAUUACUAGGCUUAUCAUACAUGCAUUGAAGUUUUAAAAUGUAUCUAAUAUAAUACUUUAAUUAAAUUGAAUGUUUUGGA